rnacentral:rRNA from 1 species
UGAGUACGAGCUGCUACGGCAGCGAAGUGUGUGAUGUCAAGCUUCCAAGAAAAGCCCUAUACCCGUUAAGGCAUGACGGCCUGUACCCGAAACCGACACAGGUGGGGUGGUAGAGAAUACCGAGGGGCGCGAGAUAACUCUCUCUAAGGAACUCGGCAAAAUGGCCCCGUAACUUCGGGAGGAGGGGUGCCACCGCAAGGUGGUCGCAGUGAAGAGGCCCAGGCGACUGUUUACCAAAAACACAGGUCUCCGCUAAGUCGCAAGACGAUGUAUGGGGGCUGACGCCUGCCCAGUGCCGGAAGGUUAAGGAAGCUGGUCAGCGCAAGCGAAGCUAGCGACUGAAGCCCCGGUGAACGGCGGCCGUAACUAUAACGGUCCUAAGGUAGCGAAAUUCCUUGUCGGGUAAGUUCCGACCCGCACGAAAGGCGUAACGAUCUGGGCGCUGUCUCGGAGAGAGGCUCGGCGAAAUAGAAUUGUCUGUGAAGAUGCGGACUACGUGCACCCGGACAGAAAGACCCUAUGAAGCUUUACUGUAGCUUGGUAUUGUGCCCGGGCUCUGAAUGCGCAGGAUAGGUGGGAGGCUUUGAUCCAUUGCUUGUGGGUGAUGGUGAGCCACUGGUGAGAUACCACUCUUUCAGAGCUAGGGUUCUAACGGUCACCCGUUAUCCGGGGACCGGACAGUAUCAGGUGGGCAGUUUGGCUGGGGCGGUCGCCUCCUAAAAGGUAACGGAGGCGCGCAAAGGUUCCCUCAGGCUGGUUGGAAAUCAGCCGACGAGUGUAAAGGCAGAAGGGAGCUUGACUGUGAGACCUACAAGUCGAACAGGGACGAAAGUCGGCCUUAGUGAUCCGACGGUUCUGAGUGGAAGGGCCGUCGCUCAACGGAUAAAAGUUACUCUAAGGAUAACAGGCUGAUCUCCCCCAAGAGUUCACAUCGACGGGGAGGUUUGGCACCUCGAUGUCGGCUCAUCGCAACCUGGGGCUGAAGUCGGUCCCAAGGGUUGGGCUGUUCGCCCAUUAAAGCGGUACGCGAGCUGGGUUCAGAACGUCGUGAGACAGUUCGGUCCAUAUCCGGUGCACGCGCAGGAACAUUGAGAGGAUUUCUCCCUAGUACGAGAGGACCGGGAGGAACGCACCUCUGGUGUACCAGUUAUCGUGCCAACGGUAAACGCUGGGUAGCCAUGUGCGGAGCGGAUAACCGCUGAAAGCAUCUAAGUGGGAAGCCCACCUCAAGAUGAGUGUUCCCAUGGCAUAAGCCAGUAAGGUCACGGGAAGAACACCCGUUGAUAGGCUCUACGUGGAAGCGUGGCAACACGUGAAGCGGAGGAGUACUAAUAGACCGAGGGCUUGACC